UUUGGAAACAAAAAAAAUUUAUGAACCUAAUGUAUACAUUAUCCGCCAGUAAAACAUAGCCGCUAGCAUUAGCCGCCGGGUUUAAAUUCAUAAUUUUUUUUUGUUUCCAAAUAUACUUAAAGUACAAUUUUUGUCAUCCUCGUAUUACUGUUUUAUUAUACACAAACUUACCUUCAUUAUUUUCAAACUUAGGGCAUUAUACGUCAAUCAUCUUACAAUAAUUGCACAUUUAUCUGGUUUUGUGCAUUUUUAACUACCUAUCUUACACAUUUUCUUACACAAUUGUACUUGUGUAAGAAAAAGUGUAAGAACUUUUACAAAAAACCAAGCAACCCAUCACCAUCAAGUGUACUUUUCGGCUUUGACUUUCAAAGUGGGUAGUUUUGCAAGACAUUUUAUUGAUGUGGGUAGAUUUAAUUCCAACCCAAUUUUUUUUCCCCCAAAUCAUAAUCUAUGUCAUUAUUACGUAUAAAUUUAAUUCAAAAUAAAAAGUAUAAAUUAUAUNAUUUUUAUUAAUAUGUUAUAAAUUUUUUAAUUCUGAAUAACCUAAAAAACGUUAUUAUUUUAUGCGUAAUACAGUAAAAUUAGGAGUAAUGAUCUAAAUAGACGAUUAAAUAUAUCUAAAUAUGCUUCAACUAAUAAAAAUUCUAACAACACUCAAACUAUACUCAACUUCUAACAACACUCAACUACACUAUAUCUAACAUAUACGAAACAUAUAAAUAAAUCUAACAUAUACGAAAUAAAAAUUAAAUACUAUAUAUCUAAAUCAAAAUUCAAUACUAUACAAAACAUAUAAAAAUUCGAAACAUAUAAAUUCUAACAUAUACGAAAUAAAAAAUAAAUACUAUAUAUCUAAAUCAAAAUUCAAUAAAUUCAAUACUUUUUCGACAAAUACAAAAAAUGUUUCUAACAUAUACAAAACAUAUAUAACUAACAUAUAUAUCUAACAUUUUCUUACAAAUACAAAACAAAAUUCAAUACUAUAUAUCUAACAUAUAUAGAUUCCCAACAUAUAAAUAUAUCUAACAUAUACAAAACAAAUAACAAAUAAACUCAUCUAACAUAAACACGAUGUAUUCACCAAACAUAUACCAAAUAAUACUUAAAAAUACAGUAUACUUACUUGGUUUGAAGAAGAAGCCAUGGCGUGAAAUGGAUUUGAAGAAAGACCGAAUGAAGUCUAUUCCUUCCUCCCUCAAUUGCCGUCUUUGCCUUCCACUCUCACACGAAAAAAUGAAGUAGCUGUUUCCUUUGAUGAUUGUGCGGCUGCAUGAGACCCCAACACCUAAUUUAACAUAAAUAUAGUGUUAAUGGGCCCUACCCAAUUUAGGCCUUAUCACAUCUUCAUUUUGUGGUCAAAGAAAUCCCACAAAAGCCGUGCCCGCUCAAUUCAUGCUUCCAAAUUCCAAUACCCGUGAAUUUGCUGCAAAGCCUAUAGAUUCCCACCAUAUAAAGUUUCCCCCUAGCCGUUUGAAUUUUCCAAUCACGCUUGACUUAGACUUAGGUCUUCAAAUUUGAAAAAAAUACAACAAACAUUAAUAUGAAGUCUAAUAAAUAAAAUUUAUGUAUAUUGUGAUAUAAAAUCCAAUUAUGAAUGAAAUGGUAUACGAAGGCCGCCAGUAAAACAUAGCCGCUGGCUGUAGCCGCUACGGGUUUCUUACACGCGGCUACGCCUUUCGGAUACUAAAUACUGGCGGCUACGUAUGUGGUAAGCUCUCUAAUGUUUUAUUGUUUCAUAAUAUAUGAGUUUAGAUUUUUUUUUAUCCAAUAUUUUCUAUUAUUUUAUGUGUUACGCUAUAUUAAUUCAUGUUAAAUCAAAUAAAAUCAAAAAAUUGAGACUUAUUACCUCACCAUAAUCCAAAUUUGUCAAUCUCCUUCUCUAUUAUGUAUUUCUACUUCAGAAAAUAUAUUUUAAAAAAAGAAAUACAAAAUGAGGAUACGUUUGUGUAUAAUAAAACAGUAAUACGAGAGCUGAAAAAUUCAAAUUUAAGUAUAUUGUGAAUAAAAAAAAAAUUCUGCACCUAAUGGAUAAAAUAGCCUCCAAUAAAAAAUAGCCGCUGGGAUAAAACACCCGCGGCUAUUGUGAGCGGCUAUUGUAUGAAUUAAGUUCAGAAGUUUCUUGUGAUUCCAAAUAUACUUAAAUUACAAUUUUUUACAUCGUCGUAUUACUGUUUUAUUAUACACAAACUUACCUUCAUUAUUUUCAAAUUUAGGGCAUUUUACCUCACGUGGCUUUACAAUAAUUGCACAUUUAUCUGGUUUUGUGCAUUUUUAACUACCUAUCUUACACAUUUUCUUACACAAUUGUACUUGUGUAAGAAAAGUGUA
rnacentral:lncRNA from 1 species